CAACUGACAUUGCCAACUCUCAUUAUGGUUUUCUUUAACUUAUUGUGAUAAUUUAAUUUCGUCUCUUUGAUUAAAAUCUGGGAAGCAGAUCUUAAGAUCUUUAAUGGGGUUUGUUUGGUCAAGGACCCAAAAUCUAGCUUUACCUCAUUUUCAGAAAUGUUUCUGAGAAACUGUAAUUAAGAAACUGAGGCGUAUACGGUGGGUAUUAUUAUUAUAUAACUCAACAAUUUUUCAAAUUUAAGUCGUUGUAUAAUGACCUCUCUCUUGCUCAGCUAAAU
rnacentral:misc_RNA from 1 species